CAAGAACCAGUUAAAAUGUAACACUAUAUUCAAUAUUUUCAGAUAUGUAUAAAAAGAAAGGGGACGAAAAGAAACAGGCACAGCUGCUCAAACAGGAAGUGACCUAAUCGAUUGCCUCUGUGCCUGAAGUUAGUUGUAGAGGUUUGCCCUUUAGCUUGUAGCUACUGGAUAUAUGUGCUGGGUACUUUCACUUACAUUUCUGGUACCACUCACUGCCAUACAUUAAAAUACAGAAAAUGCUCUUGGUCAAAACUGAAGUCUGUCUUUUUUGGAUGGUAUUAUGUUAUACCUCUUUUGCUUCAAUGGGUAACAAACAUUGCCAUGACUCCUGUAACACAUCCAACCUCCAGGCUCCACUAGGCUCUGCGGUGCUCCUGUCAUGCAGCUUAGGGUCAACCUCUCUGGGCAUUAGCCCUGGCCAUGGCUGGGUGAUGUGGAACCAGGGCUCUGGUUCUGGUGCCAGCCUGGUCAACAUCACGUUCUCUGGGAAGGUGGACUUUCUGGACCCCAGGCAGGGAAGAGUGAAGGCUUUCCCCAAUCAGGGAGGUCUGGGGAACUUCUCCAUCCUAAUCGAUGCCCUUCAGGCCUCAGACCUGGGCUCCUACUGCUGUGCGCUGCAGAAUCAUGACCAGUGCCAUCGAGUGGAAGUUGAGGAACUUGAACAAGGUUCACACAUCGUGUUGUUUUUCAGCGUCGGCAGUUUGGCCAUCCUCCUAGUGCUCCUAAGUGGCUGUUUCUGCUGGGUGAAAUGGACACGAGUUUCUACUGAAAGAACACCAGACUAUAUCAACACCCAUUUCUGUGCAGGAUCCAGUGCACCUCCUGAGGACGUCGCAUGUAGUGACAAUGUCGGGAGAGACGUGGCACAGGAGAGAGGAGUCGGCAAUGAGCGACUGAUCUAUGAAAACAAUGAGCACGAUCCGACCAGAAUGCAGCACGAUCCGACCAGAAUGCAGCACGAUCCGACCAGAAUGCAGCACGAUCCGACCAGAAUGCAGCACGAUCUGACCAGAAUGCAGCACGAUCUGUCCAGAAUUCACCAUGAUCCGUCCAGAAUUCACCAUGAUCCAACCAGAAUUCAACAUGAAGCACAAAGAAACCAGCACAAACCAGCUAGAUACAAAAAUAAAUUGAGAGAUUCGAGUGAGAAAAGAAGACAGGGGUUUCAUGGAGAACUCAUGAGCAGAUUGCGCCAAUCAAGUCUCGGACAGCGUUACUACGCAAACCAAGCCGAGAUCAACCAGCAAGCCAGAGUUCAGAUGGACAACCACCAAAGAGCAAACGAAGCAAAGACCAACCAGGAGGGCAGAUCCCAAAUGGACAACUGCCAAAGAGGAAGCUUUUGGAGAAAGAAACCCAAAGAGCAAUGUGAAUAUGAAAACCCUAUCUAUAACAGUGCAGUCCAACUCAAACUGUAGACGAGGAUGAAGAGGAUACUGGGUCUAAACUCCUUGGUCUCACUUUUGUUUGGGUUGUAUUUUAUUUUUUUGUUGUAAAUAAAGUACAUUACAUUGUCUUGAAAGUGAAACAAAUAUGAAAUAAAGUUAAAUCAUUUUUAAAUUGGUUUAUGAUUCUUUCAUGCAAUGUAUUAUCCAAUGUGAAUCAGAAAAGGCUCUAAUCAAGACAAUUAACCCUAAUAACCCCCAGCUGUGUCACCCUACCAGUGGAUGGUCACCCAGGC
rnacentral:lncRNA from 1 species